UAUUAAUUUAAAAAUAUUAUCAGACGUAUGUCUUUCAUAAAAAACUCGAAAAGCAAUAAUUCUCUUUUGAAUAAUCCAAUCACUAUCAAGCCAUUGUUAGAUUAUGGGUGUGCCGAUGUUAGUGAAUAAUCCAAUCACUAUAAUCCAAUAAUUCUCUUUUGAACAUCUUCUAUGGGUGUGCCGAUGUUAGAUCGAAAUGAAUCGGAAGACAUUUUUAAGCAAAAUUAAUAAAAGUCAAAAAAUAUGAUGGAAAAAAAUCUCUUUAACGUUGGAUGAAGCAAGAAGAAUAAUCUUUAUUUUAGAAAUAUUUAGCAUAAUAUUUAUAGAAAAACUGACUACUAUAUUUAUGGAAAAAAUCUUUGAAAUUUUUUAAAUCAAACAAACAUUGAUGACUUGGUCAUAAACGGCUACAUUACAAAACUUGAUCAAGCUCAAGUCUUUGACGAUCUAAAAUUCUGCAGUUUUGCCACGUAGGAUUUGACUUGGUCAUAAAUUUUAAAGAUUGAAAUGAACUAACGGAUUGCCACAAAAAAUUUUA
rnacentral:sRNA from 1 species